GACAGAGGGGGCAAGCGUUGCUCGGAAACACUGGGCGUAAAGGGCGCGUAGGCGGGAUGGCAAGUCGGUCGUGAAAUCCUUCGGCUCAACCGAAGAACGUCGGCCGAUACUGCCGUUCUUGAGGGAUGCAGAGGAGAUUGGAAUUCCCGGUGUAGCGGUGAAAUGUGUAGAGAUCGGGAGGAACACCGGUGGCGAAGGCGGGUCUCUGGGCAUCUCCUGACGCUGAGGCGCGAAAGCGUGGGGAGCGAACCGG
rnacentral:rRNA from 1 species